ACGAUGCCAUGGAGCGGCCGGCGCGCCAUACGAACGACGACGGGUCGCGCACUACGAGUAGGGCGCUGGUCGGCUCCGAAACCUCGAAGAACAGAAGGAAGAAGAAGAAGAAGAAGACGAAGAGGAGGACAAAGGUGAAGAGGAAGAGAAGAGAACAAGAAGGUGGUGGAGAGGAAGUGGUAGCCCGACUACGACGAUUUAAAUCAAGACGACUUAACUUAGCACCGGCCAGUGCAUCGAGGGGCGAAAACCGUAGGUUUCACCGAAUAAUAACCGAGGGAGGCAGGAAUCUCGGCUGAGAGGGACGGAACAAAGGUUCGUCGAGUGAACGCAAGUGAACCUAAGCGGACAGGAUGUCUUCAGCGAUCGCUAAAGCUUCCAAAUACACGUACCGCUCCACCGGCGAAGGUACCGCUAACGUUAGCAUCGAAUACAGCGCUGACCUGAGCGCUCUCUCUAGGCUGGAGGACAAAAUCCGCCUGCUGCAGGAUGACCUGGAGUCUGAGAGAGAGCUGCGUCAGAGGAUCGAACGCGAGCGCGCUGACUUAAGCGUGCAAGUCAUCCAGCUGUCCGAACGUCUCGAAGAGGCCGAGGGUGGCGCUGAAUCUCAGUUUGAGAUUAACAAGAAAAGAGACACGGAACUGGCGAAGCUGCGCAAAUUACUCGAAGAUGUUCAUCUCGAAAGCGAGGAGACCGCACACCUUCUGCGCAAGAAGCACCAGGAAGUCGUUGUCGAUUUCCAGGAUCAAAUCGAUCAACUUUCGAAAGCACGUGCCAGGGCCGACAAAGAGAAAUCGAAAUUCCAACAAGAGGUAUACGAACUGCUCGCUCAACUGGACAAUGUUACCAAAGAAAAGUUGAUGUCCAUAAAGACAGUGGAGAAGCUCGAGAUCCAUGUAGCCGAGCUCAAUGUGAAAAUCGAAGAAUUGAACCGCACCAUCGUAGACAUCACCAGUCAUAAGACCCGGCUUUCCCAGGAAAAUAUUGAACUGACCAAGGAAGUUCAGGAUUUGAAGGUGAACAUCGAGAAUGUUGUUUACCUGAGAACUCAGAUCGCUGGUCAGCUCGAGGAUGCUCGUCGUCGUCUUGAGGAUGAAGAACGUCGUCGUUCAUUGGUUGAAGCCUCCUUGCAUCAGGUCGAAACGGAAUUGGAAUCUGUGCGCAUACAAUUGGAAGAAGAAUCUGAAGCUCGUUUGGACAUUGAACGUCAAUUGGUCAAGGCCACCGGAGAAGUUCAAGUAUGGAGAUCGAAAUACGAAACCGAAGCCAAUGCUCGCGCCGAAGAGGUAGAGGAACUGCGCCGCAAAUACAGUGCUCGCAUCCAGGAACAGGAAGAACAGAUUGAAACUUUGCUGGUUAAGAUCAACAAUCUUGAGAAACAAAAGUCUCGUCUGCAAUCUGAAGUGGAAGUUUUGAUCAUUGACUUAGAAAAGGCUAACGGAACAGCUCGCGAGCUCCAGAAGCGCGUCGAACAGUUAGAGAAGAUCAAUGUUGAAAUGAAAGCACGUUUGGACGAGAGCAUGGCGAUGUACGAACAAAGCCAACGCGACCUCCGCAACAAGCAACAGGAACUCCAGCGCACCAAUGCUGAACUCGACAAGACUCGCGAACUGAAGGAUCAACUGGCACGUGAGAACAAAAAACUGGGAGACGACCUCAGCGAUGCCAAGAACCAACUUGCUGACAUGAACCGCAGACUUCACGAGCUGGAGCUUGAACUUCGUCGUUUGGAGAACGAACGCGAAGAGCUUGCUGCCGCCUACAAAGAAGCCGAAGCUGGUCGCAAGAUUGAGGAACAGCGUGCGCAGAAAUUGGCCGCCGAAUUGACCCAACUCCGCCAUGAUUACGAGCGCCGUCUCACCGAGAAGGACGAAGAAAUUGAAAUCAUCCGCAAGCAGACCAGCAUCGAGAUCGAGCAGCUGAACGCCCGCGUGGUCGAGGCCGAGACCAAGCUGAAGACCGAGGUACAGCGCGUGAAGAAGAAGAUGCAGAUCCAGAUCACCGAGCUGGAGCUGUCGCUCGACGUCGCCAACAAGAACAACAUCGAUCUGCAGAAGACGAUCAAGAAGCAAUCGCUCACCUUGACCGAACUGCAAGCCCACUAUGACGAAGUGCAACGCCAACUGCAAGUCACCUUGGACCAACUGGGUAUCAGUCAGCGACGCCUCCAAUCGUUGACGGCCGAGCUCGAGGAAGUGCGCGGCAACUAUGAAUCUGCCCUCCGCGCGAAGAGAACCGUCGAGCAGCAAUACGAGGAAUCGGUUAGCCGCAUCAACGAACUGACCACCAUCAAUGUGAAUAUUGCCUCGUCGAAAGCUAAGAUCGAACAGGAAUUAGCAACUCUGGCCGGCGACUACGAAGAGGUCACCAAGGAACUGAGAGUGAGCGACGAAAGAUACCAACGAGUCCAAAACGAGCUGAAGCACACUGUUGAGAUCCUGCACGAGGAACAGGAGCGCAUCGUGAAGAUCGAGGCCAUCAAGAAGUCUCUCGAGAUCGAAGUGAAGAACUUGUCCGUAAGAUUGGAGGAGGUCGAAGCUAACGCAAUCGUUGGCGGCAAGCGUAUCAUCAGCAAACUCGAGGCUAGGAUCCGUGAUCUGGAACUCGAAUUGGACGAGGAGAAACGCCGACACUCCGAGACCGUGAAGAUCCUCCGCAAGAAGGAGCGCAACAUCAAAGAGGUGAUGAUCCAAGUCGAGGAAGACUCAAAGAACAUUGCGUUGCUGCAAGAAUCCCUUGACAAGGCUAGUCAGAAGGUGAGCAUCUACAAGAGGCAACUUCAGGAACAGGAAGGCAUGUCCCAGCAGAGCGUGACCAGGGUCCGCCGAUUCCAAAGGGAGCUUGAGGCCGCGGAGGACCGUGCCGACACCGCCGAAAGCAACUUGAGCCUGAUCCGCGCGAAACACCGUAGCUUCGUCACCACCUCCACCGUGCCCGGUUCCCAGGUGUACCUCGUCCAGGAGACGAGGUCUGACCUGUAAAAACACCACCGCCAUCGAUAACCCACCCUUUGCCACUUCAAACGCCACCUCGUCGUCUUUAGAAACGCGUAACGAGAAACCGACGAAAAAAAAAGUAUAUAUAUAUAUGUGAA